rfam:Desulfuromonadales bacterium C00003107 5579_contig_19450, whole genome shotgun sequence.
UCCGAUAAAAGCAAACCUGAAGCGAUUCAGGGACGCAAAGCCACGGAUCCCAAAGGGACCGCCGGGCCGCCGAAG